rnacentral:rRNA from 1 species
GACGAACGCUGGCGGCGUGCUUAACACAUGCAAGUCGAACGGCAAGGCCCUGCUGUUGUGGGGUGCUCGAGUGGCGAACGGAUGAGUAACAAGUGAGUAACAUGCCGUUGACUUUGGGAUAACAUCAGGAAACUGGGGCUAAUACCGGAUAGGAGCUCCUGCUGAAUGGUGGGGGUUGGAAAGUUAAGGCGGUUGGGGAUGGACUGCGGGCUUAUCAGGUUGUUGGGGGGGUAGUGGCUUAGCAAGGCUGUGGCGGGUAGCCGGCCUGAGAGGUUGAGCGGGCACAUGGGUACUGAGAUACGGCCCAGAGUCCUAUGGUAGGCAGUAGUGGGGAAUAUUGUACAAUGGGCGGAAGCCUGAUGCAGCAACCCCGCGUGCGUGAUGACGGUCUUCGGGGUGUAAACCGCUUUCGCCUGUGACUAAGCGUUAGUGACGGUGACGGGUAAAGAAGCACCGGCUAACUACGUG